UACGUAGGGUGCGAGCGUUAAUCGGGAUUACUGGGCGUAAAGCGUGCGCAGGCGGCGCGUUAAGACAGGUGUGAAAGCCCCGAGCUUAACUUGGGAAUUGCGCUUGUGACUGGCGUGCUGGAGUGUGGCAGAGGGAGGUGGAAUUCCACGUGUAGCAGUGAAAUGCGUAGAGAUGUGGAGGAACACCGAUGGCGAAGGCAGCCUCCUGGGCCAGCACUGACGCUCAUGCACGAAAGCGUGGGGAGCGAACAGG
rnacentral:rRNA from 1 species